GCCCCCUCUCCCGUACUCCCUGAACUCUGCUUUCUCUCUGAUGCACCCACCCGCCGUGCAUCUCAAGGAAGUUGCCUCCAGGGGAGAACAUCCCUUCCCUACUGCUGCGGGUGCUAUGGGUACAAUCCUGGGGUCAUUAACCCCAUUGCUUAGACCCUGAGGGCUCCCAGCCUGGUGCCCUGCCCCACCUUGUUCACAGGGACACUCAGGCCAACAACCACGCUAGCCCCACUUGUCCACACCUCUGUCCACUUGAGGGCCCCCAACCCCACCCAGCUCAGCUUUGCGCAUCUUGCUUUGGCUGCCAGCUCUACUCUGCCUGCCCUGCCAUACCCUCCUCUGGCCUGCAGCCCCGUGUCUGCUGAGCCAGCCCUUUGGCCAGCCCCCAAGGUAUGUGUGCUGGUGGUAAAUACUACCGUAGCUGAAGCUGGAGCUGAAUUCAGCUCCCAGCCCUGGGGUGGCUCUGGGGUAGGAGGUGAUGUCAGGCAAAGGGAGAAAGGGGCAGAAGCUGGGAGAGGUGCUGGUGGGACCUGCCACAUGGCCUGCUGGGGAAGGGGGCAGCACAGGGCCCCCUUGGGGCAGGUUUUGUUUCUUCCUGGGAGUACGUGGGAGAGCCCUUUCCCUAGGUCCUCCUCACUUCUGUUUCCCGGCAGAGCCAUAGUUUUGCAGCUACACCCACCCCACUCAGGUGUGAAGGGGAAGUCCAGGCCAGCACGGACAAAACCAGGGGCACAGCCAAGCUUCCUGGGGCUCCUUUUCCACUGAGCCUGCUGCAGGGGUAAGGGCAGUGGGUUAGCAGAGGAGAGUUGGCUAGUCCCUGCACUGCCAGGCUUUCCCUGGGGACCCUGGGUGGAUCAUCUCCUCUCUUGAGUCUGUGGGUCAGAUUUGUAGCAUAAUGGGUUUGGGCAGUAGAGUCCCAUGCCAGCUAGCCCAAGAAGCCACACUCAUUCAUCACAAACUCAAAUGUCCACAGGACCAAGAAACCACGGUGAGAGAGUGAAGCAGGCCAGGUGGAAUUAUUAGGGAGUAGUACGGACGGACUCUGGCGAACUGGAGUGCCGGUGCCCCCCAAAAGCUGCUACUGAGCCCCAGCUGACAGUUGCCCUGUGGGAAAGCUGGUUUAGCAUUAUCUUCUGAUUUUCUAAGGAGAGCUGGAAGUCAGAAUUUUCAUGUCAAAUUCCUGGUUUUUAAAUGUUGCCAUCUCAAGAAAAUUAAAAAGAUUUUGAGGAUCCAAUGAAAUAUGUGUGAAGGCUGGAUGUGGCCUGUGGGCUCCCAGUUUCUGGCCUUUUUUUUCAUCAGUAUAGUGUCUAUGUGUCUGAGUUUAAUUCUAGCUCUAGCACUUGCUUGCUGUGUGAUCAUCAGUGAGUUACGUAAGUUCUCUGUGCCUUAGUUUCUUCAUCAGUGCAAUGGGAAUAAAAACAAUACCUUAUGGCAUUGUUAGAUAUGCCCAUGAAACCCUUAGCGUAGUGCACAACACAUGCUGUGUCUUCUUAUUACGGUUCUGCCUAGAUCCUGCGUUACCUGAAGUCCCCCAUGCUCCAGGCUUUGAGAUCAUACCCUCUGGAACUUUGGAACUUCAGUCCAACCACUUUCCCUUUCUGGGUCUCUGUGUUUCUGCCUGAAAAGGAGACCUGUAUCUUGCCAAAGAAGUUCUGAAAUCUCUGCUCACCCUGACAAUGACUCCAAAAAUCUGGGGCUCCCAGACUUGGCUCUCUGCCUAAAACUCCACUCUUGCAGACAUGCCGUUUGGGGCUUUGGUGCCUUUGGAGACUCUCCUUUAAACACAAGCGCCCCAGGAUCGGAUCACAAGUUGUUAUCAGUCAUUCACACCUUAGCAGGAAAGACUUUAAAGCUGGCUUCUCCAUCCCACUGUGCUUCUCACUCCUAGGAGGCACUUCUUGACUUGCUGAAUGAAUUAGAGACCUGUCUAGCUCCCAAGUACCAAGCGCCGACUACUCGCAUGGCACUUACAGAACACUUCAUGUGAAUUAUUACUAACCAAUGCAGGCCUCGUCUGCUCAAGGGGAGGCCAUGCAUUCAGCAUGCAGGUGAGAUGCAGCACCUGGCCCAGGCCUUGCACACGCAGGUGCUCUCUUAGUGCUCCCUGGCAAGGAUGGGAAGGCAUGUUCAGUCCUAGGAGUAGGAAGGGGCAGAGGUGUUGAUGGCCCCUACAGAGCGGCCAAGGACAAGGAGCUGCUGUUCGAAACAGCCUUCCUGCUCCCCAACCUGCCUCCCACCCAACAGGUUUUGCAUAUACUCUACUGGGAAGAGGGACACACCCGACUGCAUCACUGCCCUCCAAGUCUCUCCCUGCCCUGUCCAGCAUCCAGGAGCACCCCUAGUUGGGGAAGCUUCUGUGACUCCCCCUACAACAGCCUAGGAUGGAGUGGG
rnacentral:lncRNA from 10 species